rnacentral:rRNA from 1 species
GAAAGCGUGACGAGGUUAAUCCGAGUGACUUCCGCUGAGGAGGUCUUUUGUCAGCUAUAAAUAGGCGGGCGAAUAAGGGGAGGGCAAGCCUGGUGUCAGCCGCCGCGGUAAUACCAGCUCCUCGAGUGGUCGGGGCGAUUAUUGGGCCUAAAGCAUCCGUAGCCGGUUCCGUAGGUCUUCUGUUAAAUCCAACCGCUUAACGGUUGACCUGCAGAAGAUACCGCGGGACUAGGAGGCGGGAGAGGCGGACGGUACUCCGCGUGUAGGGGUAAAAUCCUUUGAUCCGCGGAAGACCACCAGUGGCGAAGGCGGUCCGCCAGAACGCGCUCGACGGUGAGGGAUGAAAGCUGGGG